CGCUCUGGUGUCUAAGUGGUUAGAGCGUCCGCCUCGGAUGCGUGAGGUUGCAGGUUCAAACCCUAGCCGAGUCA